rnacentral:tRNA from 1 species
AGGGGUUUAGCUCAGUGGUAGAGUGUGUGCUUAGCAUGCACAAGGUCCUGGGUUCAAUCCCCAGUACUGCCA